AAUGAACGCUGGUGGCGUGCCUAACACAUGCAAGUCGAGCGAGAAAUCCCGCUUCGGUGGGAGAGUAAAGCGGCGCACGGGUGAGUAACGCGUGGGUAAUCUACCUUCGAGUCCGGGAUAACACUUCGAAAGGGGUGCUAAUACCAGAUAAGACCACAGUUAUUACUAUGACCGUGGUAAAAGGUGGCCUCUCCUUGGAAGCUAUUGCUUGAGGAUGAGCCCGCGUCCUAUCAGCUUGUUGGUAGGGUAAUGGCCUACCAAGGCUAAGACGGGUAGCUGGUCUGAGAGGACGACCAGCCACACUGGGACUGAGACACGGCCCAGACUCCUACGGGAGGCAGCAGUGGGGAAUUUUGCGCAAUGGGGGAAACCCUGACGCAGCGACGCCGCGUGAGUGAUGAAGGCCUUCGGGUUGUAAAGCUCUGUCAGGUGGGAAGAAAUUCCCUAUGGCUAAUAUCCAGAGGGAUUGACGGUACCAUCAGAGGAAGCACCGGCUAACUCCGUGCCAGCCGCCGCGGUAA
rnacentral:rRNA from 1 species